rnacentral:rRNA from 1 species
AGAGUUUGAUCCUGGCUCAGAUUGAACGCUGGCGGCAGGCUUAACACAUGCAAGUCGAGCGGAAACGAUGAUAGCUUGCUAUCAGGCGUCGAGCGGCGGACGGGUGAGUAAUACUUAGGAAUCUACCUAGUAGUGGGGGAUAGCACGGGGAAACUCGUAUUAAUACCGCAUACGUCCUACGGGAGAAAGGGGGCAACUUGUUGCUCUCGCUAUUAGAUGAGCCUAAGUCGGAUUAGCUAGAUGGUGGGGUAAAGGCCUACCAUGGCGACGAUCUGUAGCUGGUCUGAAAGGAUGAUCAGCCACACCGGGACUGAGACACGGCCCGGACUCCUACGGAAGGCAGCAGUGGGGAAUAUUGGACAAUGGGGGAAACCCUGAUCCAGCCAUGCCGCGUGUGUGAAGAAGGCCUUUUGGUUGUAAAGCACUUUAAGCAGUGAAGAAGACUCUUCGGUUAAUACCCGGAAACGAUGACAUUAGCUGCAGAAUAAGCACCGGCUAACUCUGUGCCAGCAACCGCGGUAAUACAGAGGGUGCAAGCGUUUAUUCGUAAUUUCUGGGCGAUAGCGAGCGUUGUGGCUUGAUAAGUCAUAAGUUGAAAUCCCCGGGCUUAACCUGGAAACUGCAUCUGAAACUGUUAGGUAGAGUUGUGAGAAGGAUUAUAAUUUUAUGUGUAUCGUUGAAUGCUAUUGUUCUGAUGAUUUCUAUGGCUUAGUCAUCUUCUGGCUCUAAUGACUUUAUGUUUGUAAUGUUGGAAUGAAAUGUAAUGAUGUAUGGUUAUUCUGUCUGUAAUGAUGUUUCUAGUCUGUGGUUCUUUGGACUAUAGUGCUCUUAUUAUAUGUAUUUUGUUGG